AGUACAGUGGCGAACGGGUGAGUAACGCGUGGGAAUUAACCCUUUAGUGGAGGAUACUUCCGAGAAAUCGGGAAUAAUCCUGCAUAAGUCCCUUCGGGGAGAAAGGCGGCCUCUUGCUGCCGCUAAAGGACAAGCCUGCGUACUAUCAGCUUGUUGGUAGGGUAACGGCCUACCAAGGCUAUGACGGUUAGCCGGCCUGAGAGGGUGUCCGGCCACACUGGAACUUAGACACGGUCCAGACUCCUACGGGAGGCAGCAGUGGGGAAUAUUGCGCAAUGGGCGAAAGCCUGACGCAGCGACGCCGCGUGGAGGAUGAAGGUCUUAGGAUUGUAAACUUCUGUUAGGUGUGAAGAAAUUCGCAGCCUGAAUAAGGCUGUGCGAUGACGGUAGCAUCAAAGAAAGCACUGGCUAACUUCGUGCCAGCAGCCGCGGUAAUACGAAGGGUGCAAGCGUUAUUCGGAGUGAUUGGGCGUAAAGGGUGUGUAGGCGGUAUAUUAAGUCAACUGUUAAAUCUUUCAGCCUAACUGAGAGGCCGCAGUUGAAACUGGUGUACUUGAGGAUGGUAGAGAGGAGUGGAAUUCUCGGAGUAGCGGUUAAAUGCGUAGAUCUCGAGAGGAACACCGAUGGCGAAGGCAGCUCCUUGGACCAUAUCUGACGCUGAGGCACGAAAGCGUGGGUAGCAAACAGGAUUAGAUACCCUGGUAGUCCACGCCGUAAACGAUGGUCACUAGACGUUG
rnacentral:rRNA from 1 species